GGAAUAACUGUUUCAAUGAAACUAAAAAGAAAUUUCUUAAUAGGUGAAAAUUCCUUUAAUUAAUAUAAUAGACGAGAAGACCCUAAGAAUUAUAUAUAAAAAUUAUUCAUUUAUAAAAUUUUUGUUGGGGCAACAGAUUUGGUUAAAUCAAUAAUUUUUAAAUUUGCGCAUUAAGUAUAUUUAAUAAGAAUUUAAUUACCUUAGGGAUAACAGCAUUAUUAAUAUAUUAGAUUGUGACCUCGAUGUUGGACUAGGGACUUUUAAAGUAAGCCAUUUUAAAAGAUUGUUCUGUUCGAACAUAGAAC
rnacentral:rRNA from 1 species